GCUUCCCAGGUGAGGCAGGACUUAGUUCUUAUUAGGAGUUAGUUAUUACUGCUCUUCUAUCAAAUGAAAGCCAGCUCUUUUUCCCUCCAACUAUACUGCAACCUACAGACUAAAAUUAGAAACGUGGUCGCUUUUUGACUGGCCCACAUCAGAAGAGGAACCAGGUUGCACCACCCAGCAAAACAUGUAUAAGAAGCCCUAUGUUGUUCAACAUGUUCUCAACUCCCAUCAGGAUGAGAGAGAUGGAGUUGGACCAUUGUUUCCUGGCCAGUGAGAGCACCCCCUACUUGGUAACAACUAAAGCCUUGUCACUGACAAGCACCCUAUAUUAACUGUGCAGCUGUCUCGAACAUAGGACUUCAUAGAACAAUCUAGAAGCUGUCAACAUCUUGAAUGAAGCACCUCAAGAAUCUCCUUCUCCCUUGUAACUAUGGACCUAUGCUCGAGAAUUUUCCUAAGCUGUUACACCCAUGCAGAACUUGAUAGUAACAGAACCUUAUGAAAUGUGUAUGCACAGUGGAUAUUAAAAUAACCCAUAACUUUUUGACAAAUCACAAUCCGUUUUCACCAGAGCACUCUCCCUACACUGCAUAUGUGAUUAUCUGAACCUAAAUGUAAAGCUACCACUAACCUACUGGAAAUAUUUAAAACCAUGUCAAUUUUCAUUUUAUUUUAUUUACAUAAUUGAAAAAGUAUCUUCACUUUCUUCACCUCAAAAAUGACUGAGCUGUUUUUGGCUCAAACUUUAAAAAAAAAAACCAACCAACUUCCUCCCAAAUUGAUGAAAACCUGCCACAAUCUUUAGACUGAAAAAGUAUAAUCAGCUCUGAUCCUUUAUAAUAAAAACUCCUGCAACCUCACCCAAGUGCCUUGAUGUACCUUCCACCUACAUAAAUAAUGUACAUGCACAUAUACAUAGUAAUGACUAUUAGAAUUUAAUGAAAAAAAGCCUGUGUGAACACAGCAUAUUAAGUCUGUGGAUUAAAAGCUGCAACAGUCAGGAAAUGUAAAUAUUAAACCUCUCACCCCAACAUUAGGUCAACCGCACUAGAUGGAAUGUAGUAUUUGAUUAUCGGUUAAGGUGUUAAAUGUAUAUUUUAAUAGAGCGAGGCAAAACUGUCAUCUUAAUUUUCCAGACAAGGCAUAAAAUCUACUCACUGCUUUAGCAUAAUGGAAAAAAUUAGUAAUACUUUUACUCACCUGUUAAGAUACAAAUGUAUUCUUCUCAGGCAAAUGAGUGAGUAGACUCUUGCAAGGAUGUGGCAUUAUAUGCAGAUUGUGAAAUGUAAAUUAAAACUGCUGUAAGGA